GGUGACGGCGUGCUUUUUGUAGAACGAUCCAGCGAGUUAAUUUUUACGGCGAGGUUAAGUCAGAUGAUGAAGCCAUAGUGAAAGCGAGCAUUAACAGUGCGAUUUAGUCGUAAGGAUUAGACCCGAAACCAGGUGACCUAACCAUGAGCAGGUUGAAGCAACCUUAAUCGGUUGUGGAGGACCGAACCAGUGUAUAUUGCAAAAUGCUUGGAUGACUUGUGGUUAGCGGUGAAAUGCCAAUCGAACUUGGAGAUAGCUGGUUCUCCGCGAAAUAGUUAUGGGACUAGCGUCGUGUGAUAGCUUACGGGGGUAGAGCUCUGUCAAGAGAUAGGGGGAGCAAUCCUACCUACUCUUAAUAAACUACGAAUACCGUAUGUCUGUAUCACGGCAGUUAGAACGUCGGUGCUAAGAUCGGCGCUCAAAAGGGAAACAGCCCAGACCAUCAUCUAAGGUCCCUAAAUUAACGUUCAGUGGGAAACAAGGUGAGAUUUCUUAAACAGCUAGGAUGUUGGCUUAGAAGCAGCCAUUCAUUUAAAGAGUGCGUAACAGCUCACUAGUCAAGAGAUUCUGCGUGGAAGAUAUAACGGGGCUAAGCGUAAUACCGAAGAUAUGGAUUGCAAUUUAUUGCAGUGGUAGCGGAGCGUUCCUAUCAGCAGUGAAGCCGGACUGUUAAGUACUGGUGGAGCGUUAGGAAGUGAGAAUGCUGGAACGAGUAACCAUAAGACAGGUGAGAAUCCUGUCGGCCGAAAGAGCGAGGUUUCCUGGGCUAUGGUAAUCAUCCCAGGGUUAGUCGGGCCUAAGCCGAGGCGUUUAGCGUAGGCGAUGGACAUCAGGUUAAUAUUCCUGAACUAGUCAAACUUUGUAUGCAGUUAGCGAUGAGAUAGGUGGAGCGGAUUCAUGGUUUAUCCGUUCAAGUGAUAGAGGAAUCUUGAUCGAGUAAAAGUGAACCUACGGGUUUACGAUUCCGCUGAAGGCAUUGACCAGAAAAGCUGGCAUACGCAUGGGUUUGGCUACCCGUACCGCAAACCGACACAGGUGCUCGAGUCGAGGAGACUAAGGCUUACGAGAGAAUGAUUGCUAAGGAACUCGGCAAUACAGCGACCGUAACUUCGGAAUAAGGUCUGCCUACAUUUGUAGGCCGCAGCUAAAGAGCCCACGGAACUGUUUAUCAAAAACACAGGUCUCUGCUAACACGAAAGUGGAUGUAUAGGGGCUGAAACCUGCCCGGUGCCGGAAGGUUAAGGGGAUUGCUUCACGGUGAGAACUGAAGCCCCGGUGAACGGCGGCGGUAACUAUAACCGUCCUAAGGUAGCGAAAUUCCUUGUCAGGUAAGUUCUGACCCGCACGAAUGGUUAAAUCAUGUGGGCACUGUCUCAGCAAUUAUCUCGGUGAAAAUGCAUUGGCGGUAAAGAUGCCGUCUGUCCGCACCAGGACGAAAAGACCCCGUGGAGCUUCACUACAGCUUUACAUUGUUGUGGGUUCUAACUUGUGUAGUAUAGGUGGGAGACUUUGAAGCAGAUACGCUAGUAUUUGUGGAGUCAUCAGUGAAAUACCACCCCCGUUAGGAUCUGCAUCUAACCUGUGCCGUUAUCCGGUAUAGGGACCGUGUAUGGUUGGUAGUUUAACUGGGGCGGUUGCCUCCUAAAGAGUAGCGGAGGCGUUCAAAGGUUGGCUA
rnacentral:rRNA from 1 species